CCCUUAGAUGUUCUGGGCGGCCCGCGCACUACAUUGGCACUCUCAAUAAGUUCCUAGAUCUAAAACUUUGGGGUAUUCUAUUAAGUGGUGUCGUGACUGGGAUUAACCCUUGCGAUUAUUGGUUACGAACGAGGAAUUCCUUGUAAUCGCGGUUUAUCAGCCCGCGUUGAAUGCGUCCCUGCCCUUUGUACACACCGCCCGUCGCUCCUACCGAUGAAUCGUCCGGUGAAGUUCAUGGAGUGGUGGUUGUUCCAGCUGCUGUCGAAGUGAAAUGGACCUCACGAUUUAGAGGAAGGAGAAGUCGUAACA
rnacentral:rRNA from 1 species